rnacentral:miRNA from 1 species
GGGAGUGCUUCGUGCUUCUG